ACGUAGGAGGCGAGCGUUAUCCGGAAUUACUGGGCGUAAAGCGCGUGUAGGCGGACCGGUAAGUUGGGAGUGAAAGCCCUGGGCUCAACCCAGGAAGUGCUUCCAAUACUGCCGGCCUUGAGUUCCGGAGAGGGUGGUGGAAUUCCCGGUGUAGAGGUGAAAUUCGUAGAUAUCGGGAGGAACACCAGUGGCGAAGGCGACCACCUGGACGAGAACUGACGCUGAGACGCGAAAGCGUGGGGAGCAAACAG
rnacentral:rRNA from 1 species